ensembl:lncRNA
CCCCCCUCCUAAAUGGACGGACUACAGGCUAUGUCUAUCCUGUGUUAGGAAUGAGUCCUUUUCAAAACAAAAAUGCACAUUUCCCCUGGAGUGGUUUUGACUUGUCCUCCAUGUUGCCUUAGAAACCAACCAGGAAGCUAAUCCUGCUAGCCAUCUAGCCCAGUGACAAUGGAUUGUUGGAGUGGGAGCCCUGUGCACAAGAACCAACGCCUUUUAUUCCAAACAAAGGAUUCCUCUCUCCCUCUACUCUCCUCUCUUUUCUCUCGUUCCCUCUCUCUUGCUCCCUCUCUCUCGUUCUCUCUGUAGAGUCAGAUCAGUGAGCAUCUCCAGACUCAAUCAGACGCCUCCCUAUCUCCCCCACUCAUUUCUCUCACUACUUUUGAAGUGUCUGGAAACAGUGGCUCGCUUUAUCUUUCUGUAUCCUCCCUAGCUCUGAAAGCAUCCUUGUCUUGAGUGGUGAACCUACUUCAGGACCUAUUUUCGAUGAUUUGGCUUAAAUGUGCAAUGGACUGGGAGCUACGUGAUGAUGAAAGUCUUACCCUCUAUAAGCAGAGUUGUCUCUCAAGCGUUUGACUCUCUUUGCAAUAGACUGUAGGUGGGUCAACGUGAGAGAGCACUUCAAGAAUAGCUACAGAGGCGCCAUAAAUUCCUUUUAAACUUUUCUGCAUAAAGCAAAAGAAACCCAGGGCCCAGGCAUUCCACUAGGAAGCAGAUAACAUUCUGACGACAUUCCCAGAAUGCGACUGAUUUGUUUAGCAGGUCGGCAGGUGACAAAGCAUCAGGAGACGAGUGCCUCGACCCACAUUUUUAUACAUGUCCCUCCCUACAGUAUAGCAGAAUGGUAUGACCCAUAACCCUAGCCCCUCACAUUUUUCCAGUAUUAUGUACCAGGAUUGGUUCUGUCUGGUAAAUCUGAUUGGAUUAAAUCCAGGAAGUGACUAAUUGGCAUGUUAGGAGGUACGCUACAGUAUAAUAGCUCGCAAACAAAUUUAGUUGAGACCCCCCACACACACACACACAAAAGCCAUGUCAUUGGAAUACGUUGGCUGUUCCAUUCUAGGGGAAUCGACCCGCGUGGCAAGAUUUGUGAUUAGUCUUAACUGUGCUGACGAACCGGGUGAUAAUAAUGAAUUAAGGUUGCGAUAAAGACAGGGUUAAUUUAAUGAAUAUGGAGAUAUGCCUAAUUAAUUACUUUCCUCCAACAUAAAGUUUGUAUUUAAUGAGUCAGGAUCUGAAAUGGGAUUUAAGUGGCACUGUGCGUUUUAGUGGAUUCCAUGGCAGGAGUCCCCUUCAAUGGGAUGGCAGAUAAUUUCCUGAUCAUGUGACCUGACCGGGGGCCCAGAGUUCUUACUUCCGGGUCAGGUCACAUAGUCAAGGCCAGGAGUUGUUCUUGACUAUCAUUCAUAGCCUGACCUGAGAACAAGUGGGAUAACUGCUCUUCUCUUGAGCCAAAGAGAUUGGGUCUGUUAUUGACUCGUGCCAUUGGCUAACAGACUACUGACUGGACUGCGUCUCAACCGAUAAGGUGCCUCCCCUCUCUACCUCUCCCCUUAUUGCACAUAACUACUUAGAGACCUAUCACGUUUAAUCCAGAUGGUCAUUCUUACCGAGAUUUGUUUGAGAGGCCUUUCUGGUUUAAGACUACAGUAUGUCAUCCCACAUUUCUUCCUCACUAUUACAUAUCAGAUCAUGAACAGAAUGUGUGCAUUUACUCCAGGAGCCGUUACAUGCACUAUGGCAUUUCAUUUGUGGUUCAACUUAGGUUAACAGAUAUCGGCAUUGAGGUAAACCGACACUGAGCCUAUAAAGACAAUCCAAUGCAACUCUCAGUAGUGAUGUAGUCAUCACCGAAGGACAAGGAAAUGGGCAAGAAUAUGACAUAUUUUGGAUUAUAAGAGCAUCUGCAAACAAUAAUUGUAUUCACAUUCAUCAUAGUAUUACAUAUUGGCAUUUCAAAACGUCCCUUUUACAGGUUGGUUUGUGUAUUUGUAACCCUGUGACACUUUGAUUUAAGGCUUUAAAACACAAAAAUACACAUUUUAUUUCCCUGACUUUUAAGGGUCUAAACCGAUGUGUCGUGCAUGUGCAUCAAGGAAGUAGUGCACUUCUUUGGACCACAGCCUAUAAGUUCUCUGGACUUAAGUAGUGCACUAUAUAGGGAAUACAGUGCCAUUUCGGGAAGGAGAAACUGUCAGUAAACAGAAAAUGAAUACAGAGCUCCUUGGCUCUGGCCCCCUGGCUUUUCCAUAUCCCAUCCCAGUCGUCUAAAGCAGUGACAGGUGUGUUAUUGCUUACAAUACUAAUCCACACAAGACCCCUACGCUAUAACCUCGUCAUACAAGUCGACAGGCGCUACAUCCUCCCAUCGCCAUUAUGGGGUUUUGUGUCGCAGUUACAGCCGGCCCCUGCAAUUCCCAUAGCGACAGGAUGAAACCCAAACUGAUGUUUGCAAUUGUAGCAAGAGUUUUCGGUAUUGCUGCCUGUCUGUCACGUCAAGAGUCUAGGCCCUAGCCCUCAUAUCCGACACAGUUCUUCAAGGUCUUAUCUUUAGACUUUGAUUUCCCUUAGAUGCCACGCUGUCAGUCAGUUGGAUGCGUCAAAGUCCUCAAAGGCUAUAGUGUCGUACACGGAGAACCCCAAAUGUGCUCAACUUAACUUCUUAACUGUUGUGAGGUUGUAUGUUUGCCCUACUAAGGGCAGAGUCACUUUACACGUAUGUGACGAUCUUGUGUAGAUUAUAUCAGUUUGACUAUAUUUUAUCAUCUUAGGUCAAAGGUCAGAGGGAUCCAUUUGAGGAGUGUGUUUUGAGUUUGGGAAGCCAUCAGACAAACCGAUACAGUGGAAUCAACCCUUCAUUUUGGAUGCCAUACUACACUGAUCCUGUAGUGAGAUUGAAAAUUGACAAUUUUCUUGAAGUAACUAGCUGUUAGGAGCUGAACUGACGUUCAAAGACAAUGACCUUGCGAAUGACCUUUUGUGGUUGUACAAAAACUUCAGAUUCACUCAUCUCUGGAUAGAAUCAAAUAAACCUCAGGUCCUUGGCCUGUUCCCCUCUGUUUCGCUUCAUGGUCUUCUAACCCUGGUCACAGCGGUGACAGGUUUUUGGACAGGAGACUAGAUUCCUAGAACGCUGUCGGGUCGCUCCGCUGCCUGUCCCUAGAUUGAUGCGGAUGACACGCGACGUUCCAAUAAAAAUACUCGUGACGAGUUGUUUGUGACGCACUGCCCUUUCAGGCAUUGCCUCAUCCGUCAUCAGGAAUCAAUGUCCCCAUCCGGGCUGACAGGCCAAAUGAAACAGAGAUUUGCAGAGGAGGAGAGGAAGGUAAACCCAAUAGACCAUGUUACGACUACUCAACUACAAAUACUGGCUUCAUUCAGGCUUACUUUGUCCAUUCAUGUCGAGCUUUGAGGCGUGUCAGUUAUUAACAUUAAACCAAAUCACUGAAACUCUUUUUACUUUCCCAUAGCAAAUCGCAUCGUGUCUACUACAUCAAUUUCUUCCGGCUCUGUCUCCUUCAUGGUUAAUGGAGACUUGGGGUCAGGCGCAGCUCAUUUUACCCAGUAUCCUCGCUGCUUACCUGGACUGAAUGAAUCAGCUGUUCAUUCAAAUAAACCUGAUUAAGGACUCCAUUACCGUCCUUUCGUACCCAGCUAUUAUCACCAGAGGGGGGAUUAUUUCUCUUCGUGGACCGCAUUAAAAGGCAACACCUGCCCCUGUCUCUUUGUUCUGCAUGAUGUCAUCAAACAAAAUGAUUAAAGAUGACCUUUACGAACUGUGGCGAGACAAUGGCCUCUAGGGAGCCAACUACGUGUCUGUCUGAGUCUAAGCCAAUACCAGGUGUAGCCUAGUUCUGAAGCUAGCUCUUAAGCGUAAACAUUAUUUCUCAUCCGUUUUGGUCUGAACACUCGAGGUCACCAUCUGUUGUCCUCUUGUUCAAAUGAUAACACUUAAAGGGAUGGUUCACCCAUAUUACAAAAUGACACAUUGCUUACAGGGUAAGGAAACCAGUCUAUGGACAAGGUAUGACCGCAAUCCAUACUUUGCUUUUUAUUUCCCUGGUACUGUUUCCAAAUGCUAACAUUUGGAAACAGCGGCUACCCAGAAUUCAGUUUAGUUCAUGGAAGUGUGAGGAAACGAUGCAUGGACCAAUCUGUGUGGUUAUUUAGUUCCAAGGUCUAAUUGACUAAUUGUUUCAUCUAAAGAGCUACUUUUAUUUUGAAUCAACCCUGUGCCAAAGAGCCGUUCCCUGUACACAAAGCAUAUGGAGCACAGCGUUUGAAUCUCUCUCUUAUGGAACUGUCAACAUUUGAAGACGUUGAUGGAAAGAGAACAUUAUCCAGUCAACACUAAUUAGACUGAAUCAGAUCAAUUAAGUGUCUGAAUACUCUUUUCCUUGCCCUUUGCUGAAUUUGAAUAGACCUCAUUACAUGCUGACAAGGUUAAACGUUGCUAUCGGAACAACCUAGGUAAGAAAAAGGAAAAGAAAAAAAACUUUGCUAUUCAAGGUAUUUGGGGGUAUUUGUAGUGGGUGGUCUAUUUCAGGUGCUGCUUCAAUAAAGUUUUUGAAUCGAAUUCAAAUUCAUCAAAGAACAAGCAGCCGAUUUUUAAAAGAGGACGGUGCAAUUCCCUGGGUCUUUGUGGAAGAACAUGUGGGACUCCCACUCAGAAAAUCACAGUACUGUAUAGCACUCCUUCCUGCUGUGACCGGCUCCCAUCAGCUUACAAUGGAGUUUUAUAUAGGGGGACAAAUGAGAGGAUAUAUUUAUAACGGCCCUUUUUUUACACACUGGACUGAAAACCUUUUUGAAGAGGGCCAGAGACAGAGUCUACAUUAGGAUGCUUGAUUGCUUCAUAUUUUUUGGGCGACCUGGUUUUUAAUUUGUAUUUUUUUGUAUUUUACUUUAGGUCUUCACUGGAGUAUUUAAGAUAAAAACAGUAUGGGUGCUUCACCAGGGGCGAAUCUUAACAUUCCUGCUUACAAAUUGAACCAAAAACGGUUUUGUAUCACACACAUCUCUCUAGGCAUCCCAGUAUUUCUUUGAAACAGAAAAUCAAAAAUAUAGUUGAGAGAUAUCCUCCUGACAUUGAACAAGAUCCCAAACUGAGAUCCCUUCGAUAAGCACCCAUACUGUGCAUAAAACUGCUAUCUUCCUAGACAUAGAUGAGGUCUUCAAGUUUCACUGAAACAAGGUUUGACAACGGUGGACAUUUUGUGACCUCCCUGUCUUUGUAGACUAUCUAUUUGCUUUGUGUUCUGUUCAACAUUCCUUUCUGAAUCAUUUUUUGUUUGUUUCAAAAGCAUAUGUUAUGUCAGUGUUUCUUAACCCUGGAUUUGGAAACAGUGGGCUAUGUGAUGAAAUGUUGCGUUGCCUCAAAUACUGCAAUACAACUUCCAGAUUUGGUUUCUGCUCGUAUGAGCUAGGUUGUUUUGUCGUUAGGCUUUGAGAGGAUGUUGUCGUUCAUUGUGUUGUGUGUUUGUGAAAUUUCGCACUGGGCUGGGCCUAAUCAAAAACUAUUUUGUUGUUUGUGCGUCAGAGGCGUGUAUGUGAGAGAAUGUGUGUACUUGUUUUUUUUGUUCUUGACUAUUUUAAUUGGGUUUAACCUGUGAAAAACAUAAAGGAAAAACUCAAAGAAAACGAGACCAAAUAAAAUAUAACAACCUUGA